UGGUUAUCAUAAUCUUCCUUUAGGGUUUAUUUGUUGUUGUGAAUACGAAUUGAAGUUGCCGUUAAAUUUUUUUGAAGACGAAGAAUUUGAGUAAACAUAUGGUGAAGAGUGUUUGGAGGCAAUCUUGAAAAGGCUUGAAUCAAAGGUUUCUAACCCCAAUUGUUUCAAAGAGAGUGCAUAGCUGCAUCUCGAAGAUAGACAAUCUUGGUUUUCUGACUUCCAGGAGAGAAGCAAAGAAGGAAGAGGGAAGAAGAUUUUAGCUUUGGUAAGGGACACUUACAGCCAUUUUUUCUGAAAGCAUGGAACAAUUGU